rnacentral:lncRNA from 1 species
CGCGUAGUGCGCCCGUACUCCUCAGCCCUUGGGCGGUCGAUGGGACUGGGCGCGGUGGAGCAGGGGGCGGCGCUCGUUGGGGAGGCUCCCGCCGCGCAGGAGCCCAGGUGGGGGGAGGCGCAGGCAUGGGUGGCUGCAGGUCCCGAGCCCUGCCCCGCGGAGAGGCAGAGAUUGUUUUGCCAGAUUUUUAGAAAAGAGAGAUGAACACCUUUUAAACUCUGAGGAAAGAAAUGGGCUCAUUGGUAUGGAGCAGAACAGAAUACUAGGGUAAUGAAGAUUGUAUGGUGUUGGCAUCAGUGGACCAAUGGAUCAAUGGAACAAAAUGAAGAGUUCAGAAAUAAAUCUACACAUCUACAGUCAACUGAUUUUCAAAAAAUGGCUGCCAAGGUAAGUCAGUGGGAAAGGAUUAGUCCUUUAAAUUUCACAAGAAAAAUUGGAUAUCUAUAUGAAAAAGC